AGCAUGUAGGCGGGUAUUUAAGUCAGGAGUGAAAACUAUGGGCUCAACCCAUAGCCUGCUCUUGAAACUGGAUACCUUGAGGGUAUGAGAGGAAAGCGGAAUUCCCAGUGUAGCGGUGAAAUGCGUAGAUAUUGGGAGGAACACCAGUGGCGAAGGCGGCUUUCUGGCAUACAACUGACGCUGAGAUGCGAAAGCGUGGGGAGCGAACGGGAUUAGAUACCCCGGUAGUCCACGCCGUAAACGAUGGGUACUAGGUGUAGGAGGUAUCGACCCCUUCUGUGCCGUAGUUAACACAAUAAGUACCCCGCCUGGGGAGUACGGCCGCAAGGUUGAAACUCAAAGGAAUUGACGGGGGCCCGCACAAGCGGUGGAGCAUGUGGUUUAAUUCGACGCAACGCGAAGAACCUUACCAGGGCUUGACAUCCUCUGACGACCUAAGAGAUUAGGAGUUUAGGAGCUUGCUCUUAACAGAGAGACAGGUGGUGCAUGGUUGUCGUCAGCUCGUGUCGUGAGAUGUUGGGUUAAGUCCCGCAACGAGCGCAACCCUUAUCUUUAGUUGCCAGCAAUUCGGUUGGGCACUCUAGAGAGACUGCCGGUGACAAACCGGAGGAAGGUGGGGA
rnacentral:rRNA from 1 species